rnacentral:piRNA from 1 species
UGAAAUGUUUUUUCGCCGCCACAAGUUC